UCAAGGUGAGAGAUACGGAGGUAGAGCACUGAAUGUCCUAGGGGGUAUUGCACCUACCGAAGACUAUCAAACUCCGAAUGCCGUCAUCUUAUACUUGGGAGUCAGACUGUGGGUGAUAAGAUUCAUAGUCGAAAGGGCAACAGCCCAGAUCGUCAGCUAAGGUCCCUAAAUGUAAGUUAAGUGGUAAAGGAUGUGGGAUUGCACAGACAACCAGGAUGUUGGCUUAGAAGCAGCCACUCAUUCAAAGAGUGCGUAAUAGCUCACUGGUCGAGUGAUCCUGCGCCGAAGAUUUCCGGGGCUAAAACUUACUACCGAAGCUACGGCAUCAGUAAUGAUGGGUAGGGGAGCUUCCCAUACGGGUUGAAGCAUGACCGUAAGGACAUGUGGACAGUAUGGGAGUGAGAAUGUUGGCAUGAGUAGCGAGAUGUGGGUGAGAAUCCCACAGGCCGUAAACCCAAGGUUUCCAGGGGAAGGUUCGUCCGCCCUGGGUUAGUCGGGACCUAAGCUGAGGCCGAAAGGCGUAGGUGAUGGACAACAGGUUGAUAUUCCUGUACUACCGAUAACCGUUUGAGAGAAGGGAUGACACAGUAGGAUAAGCUAAGCACACUGUUGGUUAUGUGUGCCCAAGCAUUGAGGCAGUCAAAGUAGGCAAAUCCGCUUUGAUAAUGCUGGGAUGUGAUGGGGAGCGAAAUUUAGUAGCGAAGUAGCUGAUUUCACACUGUCAAGAAAAGUCUCUAUCGAGGUUAAAGGUACCCGUACCGCAAACCGACACAGGUGGGUGAGGAGAGUAUCCUAAGGCCAGCGAGAGAACUGUUGUUAAGGAACUCGGCAAAAUGACCCCGUAACUUAGGGAUAAGGGGUGCCACCAUCAGGUGGCCGCAGAGAAUAGGCCCAAGCGACUGUUUACCAAAAACAUAGGUUUCUGCUAAGUCGCAAGACGAUGUAUAGGAGCUGACGCCUGCCCGGUGCUGGAAGGUUAAGGGGAUCUGUUAGAGCAAUCGAAGCAGUGAACUUAAGCCCCAGUAAACGGCGGCCGUAACUAUAACGGUCCUAAGGUAGCGAAAUUCCUUGUCGGGUAAGUUCCGACCCGCACGAAAGGCGUAACGAUUUGGGCACUGUCUCAACAACAGACUCGGUGAAAUUGUAAUUCCGGUGAAGAUGCCGGAUACCUGCGACAGGACGGAAAGACCCCAUGGAGCUUUACUGUAGCUUGACAUUGGGUCUUGGUACUACAUGUACAGGAUAGGUGGGAGGCUUUGAAACCAGGACGCCAGUUUUGGCGGAGCCAUCCUUGGGAUACCACCCUUGUAGUACUGGGACUCUAACCAUAGGCCAUGAAUCUGGUCUUGGGACACUGUCAGGUGGGCAGUUUGACUGGGGCGGUCGCCUCCCAAAAGGUAACGGAGGCGCUCAAAGGUUCUCUCAGUACGGUCGGAAAUCGUACGUAGAGUGUAAAGGCAAAAGAGAGCUUGAUUGCAAGACAUACAGGUCGAGCAAGGAUGAAAAUCGGACUUAGUGAUCCGGUGGUUCUGCGUGGAAGGGCCAUCGCUCAACGGAUAAAAGCUACCCUGGGGAUAACAGGCUUAUCUCCCCCAAGAGUCCACAUCGACGGGGAGGUUUGGCACCUCGAUGUCGGCUCAUCACAUCCUGGGGCUGUAGUAGGUCCCAAGGGUUGGGCUGUUCGCCCAUUAAAGUGGUACGCGAGCUGGGUUCAGAACGUCGUG
rnacentral:rRNA from 1 species